rnacentral:tRNA from 1 species
UUUAAUAUGGCAGAUUAGUGCAAUGGAUUUAAACUCCAUAUAUAAAGAUCCCACUUUUAUUAAAA